UGAAGAAGGCCUUCGGGUUGUAAAGUACUUUCAGUUGUGAGGAAGGGUGUGUAGUUAAUAACUGNNCAUCUUGACGUUAGCAACAGAAGAAGCACCGGCUAACUCCGUGCCAGCAGCCGCGGUAAUACGGAGGGUGCGAGCGUUAAUCGGAAUUACUGGGCGUAAAGCGCAUGCAGGUGGUUCAUUAAGUCAGAUGUGAAAGCCCGGGGCUCAACCUCGGAACUGCAUUUGAAACUGGUGAACUAGAGUACUGUAGAGGGGGGUAGAAUUUCAGGUGUAGCGGUGAAAUGCGUAGAGAUCUGAAGGAAUACCAGUGGCGAAGGCGGCCCCCUGGACAGAUACUGACACUCAGAUGCGAAAGCGUGGGGAGCAAACAGGAUUAGAUACCCUGGUAGUCCACGCCGUAAACGAUGUCUACUUGGAGGUUGUGGCCUUGAGCCGUGGCUUUCGGAGCUAACGCGUUAAGUAGACCACCUGGGGAGUACGGUCGCAAGAUUA
rnacentral:rRNA from 1 species